rnacentral:lncRNA from 1 species
ACCAUUGUACCUGCUAACAGCAUUGUUGUUGUAAGUAUUGUACCUGUUAUUGUGAGCAUUGUAAUUUUUGUUGUUGUUGUUGUUGUUGUAGGAGUAUUUGUCAUUGGCAGCAUCGUUGUUGUAGUUGUUCUGAUAGGAGUUGUGAUACUUGUUGUUGUAUCCUUCUUCUGUGUACUUUGUGUCACUUAACUCAUAUUGGUUACCCUCAUAAGAAUCCUUGUUGUAAUACUUGUUGUUGUUGUUGUUGUAACUGGUUUCGGAGAACCUUGUGUUAUAGGCAUCAUUGUUGUAGUACUUGUUGUUGGAGUUCUCAAACUUGGUCUUGUAGGGGUGGUAAGAAGUCGGGGUGGUGGAGGGGACUUGGUUAGACUCAUC